GGCUCACCAUGGCGACGAUUGGUAGCCGGACUGAGAGGUUGAACGGCCACAUUGGGACUGAGACACGGCCCUAGACUCCUACGGGAGGCAGCAGUGGGGAAUAUUGCACAAUGGAGGAAACUCUUGAUGCAGCGACGCCGCGUGAAGGAAGAAGGUCUUCGGAUUGUAAACUUCUGUUGUCAGGGACGAUAAUGACGGUACCUGACGAGAAAGCCACGGCUAACUAC
rnacentral:rRNA from 1 species